rnacentral:rRNA from 1 species
GAUGAACGCUGGCGGCGUGCCUAAUACAUGCAAGUCGAGCGAACGGACGAGAAGCUUGCUUUUCUGAUGUUAGCGGCGGACGGGUGAGUAACACGUGGAUAACCUACCUAUAAGACUGGGAUAACUUCGGGAAACCGGAGCUAAUACCGGAUAAUAUUUUGAACCGCAUAGUUCAAAAGUGAAAGACGGUCUUGCUGUCACUUAUAGAUGGAUCCGCGCUGCAUUAGCUAGUUGGUAAGGUAACGGCUUACCAAGGCAACGAUGCAUAGCCGACCUGAGAGGGUGAUCGGCCACACUGGAACUGAGACACGGUCCAGACUCCUACGGGAGGCAGCAGUAGGGAAUCUUCCGCAAAGGGCGAAAGCAUGACGGAGCAACGCCGCGUGAGUGAUGAAGGUCUUCGGAUCGUAAAACUCUGUUAUUAGGGAAGAACAUAUGUGUAAGUAACUGUGCACAUCUUGACGGUACCUAAUCAGAAAGCCACGGCUAACUACGUG